rnacentral:rRNA from 1 species
UGCAAGUCGAACGAAGCACGGGGGGCAACUCCCGUGACUGAGUGGCGAAAGGGGCAGUAAGGCGUGGCUAACCUACCCUGGGGACGGGGAUAGCCUCCCUAACGGGAGGGUAAUACCCGGCGAAUCGUGCGAGGGGCAUCUCUCGCACGGGAAAUGAAUUUCGCCUCGGGAGGGGGUCACGUGGUAUUAGCUAGACGGCGGGGUAACGGCCCACCGUGGCUGAGAUGCCUAGCGGGUGUGAGAGCACGACCCGCGCCACUGGCACUGAGACACUGGCCAGACUCCUACGGGAGGCUGCAGUCGAGGAUCUUCGGCAAUGGGCGCAAGCCUGACCGAGCGACGCCGCGUGUGCGAUGAAGGCCUUCGGGUUGUAAAGCACUGUCGAGGGGGAGGAAGCUCCGCAAGGGGUUGACCUAUCCCUGGAGGAAGCACGGGCUAAGUUCGUGCCAGCAGCCGCGGUAAGACGAACCGUGCGAACGUUGUUCGGAAUCACUGGGCUUAAAGGGCGCGUAGGCGGGCAAGCAAGUCCGGGGUGAAAUCUUUCGGCUCAACCGGAAAAGUGCCUUGGAUACUGCUUGUCUGGAGUGAGGUAGGGGCCGCGGGAACUUCCGGUGGAGCGGUGAAAUGCGUUGAUAUCGGAAGGAACGCCGGUGGCGAAAGCGCGCGGCUGGCCCUCAACUGACGCUGAGGCGCGAAAGCUAGGGGAGCAAACGGGAUUAGAUACCCCGGUAGUCCUAGCCCUAAACGAUGGGUACUAGUAGUGGGCUUGACAUGGGCUCACUGCCGCAGCAAAAGUGCUAAGUACCCGCCGGGGAGUAUGGUCGCAAGGCUGAAACUCAAAGGAAUGACGGGGGCUCACACAAGCGG